rnacentral:rRNA from 1 species
GAUGAACGCUGGCGGCGUGCCUAAUACAUGCAAGUCGAGCGAACGGACGAGGAGCUUGCUCCUCUGACGUUAGCGGCGGACGGGUGAGUAACACGUGGAUAACCUACCUAUAAGACUGGGAUAACUUCGGGAAACCGGAGCUAAUACCGGAUAAUAUAUUGAACCGCAUGGUUCAAUAGUGAAAGACGGUUUUGCUGUCACUUAUAGAUGGAUCCGCGCCGCAUUAGCUAGUUGGUAAGGUAACGGCUUACCAAGGCAACGAUGCAUAGCCGACCUGAGAGGGGUAACGGGCCACAUGGAACUGAAACACGGUCCAGAAUCCUAAGGGGAGCAAGAGUAGGGAAUCUUCCGGAAUGGGCGGAAGCCUUACGGAGGAACGGCGCGGGGGUGAUUGAAGUCUUCCGAUCGGUAAACCCUUGUAAUAGGGAAAAAACAAAUUUGUAAUAACCGAUCACCGCUUGAAGGGUACUAAUCAAAAAAGCAAGGCUAAACUCGGU